rnacentral:misc_RNA from 1 species
UACGAAGGGUCCAAGCGUUGUUCGGAAUCAUUGGGCGUAAAGCGCGCGCAGGCGGAUCAGUAAGUCAGAUGUGAAAUCUCAGAGCUCAACUCUGAAACUGCGUCUGAAACUACUAGUCUAGAGUGUCGGAGGGGGCAGGGGAAUUUCACGUGUAGGGGUAAAAUCCGUAGAGAUGUGAAGGAACACCGGAGGCGAAGGCGCCUGCCUGGACGACUACUGACGCUGAGGCGCGAAAGCGUGGGGAGCAAACAGG